rnacentral:lncRNA from 1 species
UUAAAUCAUUCGUCUCUUAUGGAUUUAACAGCAACUUCAUCCAAUUCGUCAUCGCCAUCUUCUUCAUAUUCCUCACCAAAAUCAGGACUUUCUUCUAAUAAACACCAAGUUAACAAAGUAUCAGUAUCAACAUCUUCAUUAGAUUCUGCUCUUCCAAAUAAUAAAGCAUCACUUCCAUCUUUACCUAUUCAACCAUCUUCUUCUCAAUCAACUUCCUCUUCGUCUUUAUCAACUGCAGCAGUUACAAAUACAACAAAUCAAGGGUCAAAUUCAAAUACAGAUUCAAUGACUAGUUCAUUGUCAACAACAUUAACUAUGACACCACAUAGUCUUGUCUCAUCAUCAACAUCAUCAUCUUCGUCAUCUUCAUCAACAAACCAACCAUUUACAUCAACUCAAAUUCAAAAUUCUACAUCGAC